rnacentral:lncRNA from 1 species
GUCAAGUUGAGUAUCCCCUUCCUAGCCACCAGCUGUCAGAAACUCAUCAAACAAUGGAGGCAAGCUUUAUAUUUUAUAUGGGAAGCCCAUGGCCACACAAGUAGCUUCUGGUGCUCUAGGUGAAGAGUGGAAGGGUUAUGCGGUCUGAAUAAGUGACAGGAAGGACAAUCAAGGUUACCCCAAGAAGUUAGGUAUCUGAACCCAUGGCAGAGUACAGCUGCUGUUGAGUAAGCACGAUUCUUACAGAUCAAGUCUGUUCAAGGAUGUACAGUGGAUGCCAAUCUGAGUGCUCUCAACUUGGUUACUGUAAAGAAAGGAGAGAGGGAUGUUCCUAGACUGAAAAAUAUGACUGUGCCUUAGUGGUGUGGCCCAAAGAGUCUAGCAAAAUCCUGAUGUUUUGAUGUCCACCAAUAUGUUGUCAGAAAGCCCUUAAGAAAGAAGGUCAGAAGCCCAGGACCAAAGCACCCAAGAUUCAAUGUCUUAGUACUUCACAUGUUUUGCAACUCAAAUACUGCUGCAUUACUUUGAAGAAACAACUAGGAAAAAAACAUGAGGAAGGCUGGUAGUAUGCUAAAAUUUUGGCAAAGAGAAUGAAGGACACCAAAGAGAAAUACCUGGGUGCCAGGAGACGUGGGUUGCUCUCACUGAGAGCUUCUACUUCUAAGUCUAAUUGCAGUAAAAUGAGUCCUUAA